rnacentral:rRNA from 1 species
AGUGAACGCUGGCGGUAGGCCUAACACAUGCCAGUCGAACGGCAGCACAGUAAGAGCUUGCUCUUACGGGUGGCGAGUGGCGGACGGGUGAGGAAUACAUCGGAAUCUACUUUUUCGUGGGGGAUAACGUAGGGAAACUUACGCUAAUACCGCAUACGACCUACGGGUGAAAGCAGGGGAUCGUCGGACCUUGCGCGAUUGAAUGAGCCGAUGUCGGAUUAGCUAGUUGGCGGGGUAAAGGCCCACCAAGGCGACGAUCCGUAGGUGGUCUGAGAGGAUGAUCAGCCACACUGGAACUGAGACACGGUCCAGACUCCUACGGGAGGCAGCAGUGGGGAAUAUUGGAAAAUGGGCGCAAGCCUGAUCCAGCCAUACCGCGUGGGUGAAGAAGGCCUUCGGGUUGUAAAGCCCUUUUGUUGGGAAAGAAAAGCAGCAGGUUAAUACCCCGCUGUUCUGACGGUACCCAAAGAAUAAGCACCGGCUAACUUCGUG